rnacentral:lncRNA from 1 species
GAUAUUCCCUUUUUGAUCAGUGACACACUUUCCAAGAUGAACUCCUUAAAGCUUCCUUACUUUCUCCUCUGUGCCAGCAAAGAGGCAUAAUCUAAGAGGUCUUCCAGGCAUGCAGAGUGUGAUCUUCUUUGCUCAACAUCCUGACCAAACCACUUAAUAUAUUAAUCCUUAAGCUACGUGUAUGGAGCUUGCUUCCAAAUAUUUGCAAUGAACACACUACAUAAACUGGUUUUCAUGUGCUGAGGUAUUUUUGACUAGUCUCUGAGAUGACAGGUCUCUCUGGAAAUAUCAUAACUGUUGCUAAUUGGAAAUUGUAAGUUGUUUAUUUAGAUAGUAUUAAGAACCUGGGGUUUAGAUGUCUUAUCUGCUGUAACUUCUGCCCAAGCAUGACUAGAAAAGA